GCCGCGGUAGCUCAGUGGUAGAGCGCAUGCCUGAAGAGCAUGGCGUCGGGGGUUCGAUUCCCUCCCGCGGCACCA
rnacentral:tRNA from 1 species